rnacentral:SRP_RNA from 1 species
GCCAGGUGAGGUGGCUCACACCUGUAAUCCCAGCACUUUGGGAGGCCGAGGUGGGUGGAUCACCUGAGGUCAGGAGUUCAAGACCAGCCUGACCAACAUGGUGAAAUCCCAUCUCUA